rnacentral:rRNA from 1 species
CCUACGGGUGGCAGCAGUGAGGAAUAUUGGUCAAUGGGCGCAAGCCUGAACCAGCCAAGUCGCGUGAAGGAUGACUGCCCUAUGGGUUGUAACCUUCUUUUAUAUGGGAAUAAAAUGUUCCACGUGUGGGAUUUUGUAUGUACCAUAUGAAUAAGGAUCGGCUAACUCCGUGCCAGCAGCCGCGGUAAUACGGAGGAUCCGAGCGUUAUCCGGAUUUUUUGGGUUUAACGGGAGCGUAGGUGGAUUGUUAAGUCAGUUGUGAAAGUUUGCGGCUAAACCGUAAAAUUGCAGUUGAAACUGGCAGUCGUGAGUACAGUAGAGGUGGGCGGAAUUCGUGGUGUAGCGGUGAAAUGCGUAGAUAUCACGAAGAACUCCGAUUGCGAAGGCAGUUCACUGGACUGCAACUGACACUGAGGCGCGAAAGUGUGGGUAUCAAACAGGAUUAGAUACCCUUGUAGUC